rnacentral:rRNA from 1 species
CCCUUGGUAUGUUUGGGUUCUAACCUUUCGCCGUUAUCCGGCAAAGGGACAGUAUUUGGUGGGCAGUUUGACUGGGGCGGUCACCUCCUAAAGAGUAACGGAGGUGUCCCAAGGUCUCCUCAGUGUGGUUGGAAAUCACACCAGAGAGUGUAAGGGCAUAAGGAGGCUUAACUGCGAGAGAGACAUCUCGAGCAGAUGCGAAAGCAGGGCCUAGUGAUCCGGCGGUAACUAGUGGAUGUGCCGUCGCUUAACGGAUAAAAGGUACUCCGGGGAUAACAGGCUAAUCUCCCCCAAGAGUCCAUAUCGACGGGGAGGUUUGGCACCUCGAUGUCGGCUCGUCGCAUCCUGGGGCUGAAGCAGGUCCCAAGGGUUUGGCUGUUCGCCAAUUAAAGCGGUACGCGAGCUGGGUUUAGAACGUCGUGAGACAGUUCGGUCCCUAUCCGUCGUGGGCGUAGGAUACUUGAAGAGGGUCUGCCUCUAGUACGAGAGGACCGAGGUGGACGAACCUCUAGUGUACCAGUUGUCCUGCUCAGGGCAUUGCUGGGUAGCUAUGUUCGGUCGGGAUAAACGCUGAAAGCAUCUAAGCGUGAAGCCCACCUCAAGAUUAGGUAUCCCACCUGGAUUUAUCCAGGGAGAGACCCCGGGUAGACUACCCGGUUGAUAGGUCAGAAGUGUAAGGACAGUAAUGUCUUUAGCUAACUGAUACUAAUAGGUCGAGGACUUGACCGU